CACAGACUUAUUAUUUUACUGAAAUGAUAGAAUAUUUAAUAUCUAACAUUAUCUGUGGACCAUAGACAAGGAAACACUGCCCAUGCCAUUGUUACAUGCUCUGUGGUCAUAAUAUUGUGCGUCAUGUAUGCGUGCGCAAAAACAGGAUAAUGCUCAGCAAUUUCUGCGACUUAAACCUCAAGAGGUUAGCGUCGCAGCGCUGAUUUUCAGCAUCUCCUUGGGUGACGUAAUGGCGUCCCGCCAGCUUCACUAAUCGCCAGCGAACAAGAAUGCAAAACAACAAAACAACGAAAUGAUCAAGUAGCCGGCAUGACCUGUAAAAUACAGAUAUACCUAUAUUGACCAUAAAUGAUGGGGGAGGCUGCAGCUACGAACAACAACCUGUUGGAUACCUGUGCAUCACCAUGUUGGAAGGCCGCGACCCUUGAGGCCUCGCAUUGGUGGUGGCAGGUUGUUCCAACAGUGAGUCGCAGCAUAUUUGAAGCUCCCCCUGAAGGCCGCUGUUCUGUGCUGAGGGAUGGAUAGUGGAUUUGUAGUUGAGCGUAUGUGGUUUAUUGAACUAUGCUGUCUCCACUGUAAUUUCUCAUACAGGUACCGUGGCUUUUGGGUAGUAAUAACUCCAAACAAUAGGCCUGCCAGGUGCAAACGUCUCCGAGCUUCCAUUUUUAAAAUAUUGUUUCGAUUCGCAAAAGGGGUGACAUGGCUUCUUCGUGGUAUGUCCACACAGUAUCUUAUGCAAGCAUUUUGAACACGCUGCACCAAUCUGUUUGUUUUUGCUAGCAAGCAUGGACCAUAAACUGUGUCACAGUAGUUCAGUCUUGAUAGGACCAGACUAUCCACAAGUUGUUUGCGCAGAGCUACACUCAAGUAUUUCCUAAAGCAGUAUAGAGUUUUUAGUCUAUAAAAACAGUUCCUUGUACUAUUUAAUACGUGCUUCUCAAAGUGUAGCUCUGGAUCCAUAGUGAGACCCAAAUUGGUUGCCGUGUCUACCAUUUCUAUAUUUUCAUUGUUUAUUGUAACCACUGGCCCAGCAGACAGCAUAACACUGACUGUCCUCUUACUUCCCAAGACCAUAUAUUUGGAUUUCACCGGAUUCAGUACCAGGCAGUUGUCCUCCGACCAAGUAAAAACGUUUUGCAAAUCAGCAUUAAUAUUCUGCACAGCCAACGAGACGUCUGCAGGUUUACAAGACAUGUACAGCUGAAUAUCAUCCGCAUACAUAUGGUACUUGCAAUGUUUAAUUGAGUCUACAAUAUCGGCACUGUAGAGAAUGUACAGAAGCGGUCCCAAAAUUGAGCCCUGAGGCACGCCGCGCGCGACAGGUAGUGGAAGAGACGACACGACCGUUCCGUCCUCUUUACGGAUUUCAACAAGUUGGGACCUAUUGUUCAAGUAGCUUCCAAACCACUUUAUUGUUUCCAUCGCGAAUCCAUAGUAAGCCAUCUUGGAAAGCAGUAAAGUGGUGUUUAUCGAGUCAAAGGCCCGGGAAAAAUCAAGGAGCACCAAUAUCGUCCCCUCACCCCCGUCACGAGCCUCCAGUAUGUUGCCUAUAACAUCAGCCAGUGCCGUUGCAGUCCCACGACACUUUCUGAAACCCGAUUGCAUCUCGGGCAAUAUGUUGUUGUCCUCCAGAUAUUUGAUUGUCUGAUUAUAUACCA